ACACAUGCAGUCGAGCGCACCUUCGGGUGAGCGGCGGACGGGUGAGUAACGCGUGGGAACGUACCCUUCUCUGCGGAAUAGCCACUGGAAACGGUGAGUAAUACCGCAUACGCCCUUCGGGGGAAAGAUUUAUCGGAGAAGGAUCGGCCCGCGUUGGAUUAGGUAGUUGGUGGGGUAAUGGCCUACCAAGCCUACGAUCCAUAGCUGGUUUGAGAGGAUGAUCAGCCACACUGGGACUGAGACACGGCCCAGACUCCUACGGGAGGCAGCAGUGGGGAAUCUUAGACAAUGGGCGCAAGCCUGAUCUAGCCAUGCCGCGUGAGUGAAGAAGGCCUUAGGGUCGUAAAGCUCUUUCGCUGGGGAAGAUAAUGACUGUACCCAGUAAAGAAACCCCGGCUAACUCCGUGCCAGCAGCCGCGGUAAUACGGAGGGGGUUAGCGUUGUUCGGAAUUACUGGGCGUAAAGCGCGCGUAGGCGGAUCAGAAAGUUGGGGGUGAAAUCCCGGGGCUCAACCUCGGAACUGCCUCCAAAACUCCUGGUCUUGAGUUCGAGAGAGGUGAGUGGAAUUCCGAGUGUAGAGGUGAAAUUCGUAGAUAUUCGGAGGAACACCAGUGGCGAAGGCGGCUCACUGGCUCGAUACUGACGCUGAGGUGCGAAAGUGUGGGGAGCAAACAGGAUUAGAUACCCUGGUAGUCCACACCGUAACGAUGAAUGCCAGUCGUCGGCAAGCAUGCUUGUCGGUGACACACCUAACGGAUUAAGCAUUCCGCCUGGGGAGUACGGUCGCAAGAUUAAAACUC
rnacentral:rRNA from 1 species